CAAAGAGCAGAGAAAAAGCUUACCAAGUGGGUAUACAGAUGUUCCAUCGAGUCCUCGGAGAUUUCCGACAAUGCAGCACCGGUAGAAAGGAGAGCAGAGGCGACUCAUCCCCGUCUGCAGAUACCAGUACUACCCCCACAGGCCCCAUUAAGCUCAUGUUCAAGUGACGGUCCUAGUGAUUCUGCUCCGGCAUCGAAGCGGCAGUCACAUCGGGUUGAAGAGCCUUCACAGA